UUAAAGGAAUUGACGGGCCCGCACAAGCAGCGGAGCGUGUGGUUUAAUUCGAUGUUACACGAAGAACCUUACCAGGGUUUGACAUGCAAGUGGUAGGAAGCCGAAAGGUGACCGACCCUUCGGGGAGCUUGCACAGGUGCUGCAUGGCUGUCGUCAGCUCGUGUCGUGAGAUGUUCGGUUAAGUCCGCUAACGAGCGCAACCCUCGCUGUGUGUUAUAUGUGUCACACGGGACUGCCGGUCUUAAGCCGGAGGAAGGUGGGGAUGAUGUCAAGUCAGCAUGGCCUUUAUAUCCUGGGCUACACACACGCUACAAUGGCCAACACAAUAGGUUGCUAAGCCGCGAGGUGGCGCCAAUCCAUAAAGUUGGUCUCAGUUCAGAUUGUAGGCUGCAACCCGCCUGCAUGAAGAUGGAGUUGCUAGUAACCGCAGGUCAGCUAUACUGCGGUGAAUACGUUCCCGGGUCUU
rnacentral:rRNA from 1 species